rnacentral:rRNA from 1 species
AUUGAACGCUGGCGGCAUGCCUUACACAUGCAAGUCGAACGGCAGCACGGGAGCAAUCCUGGUGGCGAGUGGCGAACGGGUGAGUAAUAUAUCGGAACGUGCCCAGUCGUGGGGAUAACGUAGCGAAAGCUACGCUAAUACCGCAUACGAUCUAUGGAUGAAAGCGGGGGAUCGCAAGACCUCGCGCGAUUGGAGCGGCCGAUAUCAGAUUAGGUAGUUGGUGAGGUAAAGGCUCACCAAGCCGACGAUCUGUAGCUGGUCUGAGAGGACGACCAGCCACACUGGGACUGAGACACGGCCCCAGACUCCUACGGGAGGCAGCAGUGGGGAAUUUUUGGACAAUGGGCGCAAGCCUGAUCCAGCAAUGCCGCGUGCAGGAUGAAGGCCUGGUGUAACUGNUUUGUCGACGAACGGUACGAGCGUCUAAUAC